rnacentral:piRNA from 1 species
UGCAACAUUACUCCAAGAGCC